rnacentral:misc_RNA from 1 species
CGCGAGCGCCGCCAUGCACAGCUGGCAUGCCGCAUCGCAUGCAGAGGGGCGUGGCGCGAAGAGAGCCCACAGUGCAUGUGCGCAAAACAUGCCGUAUCGGCUCCAGCCGACCAAAUGGGGGCUCGUGAGGCGCAGAUGCCGGAAGCAUCACCAGAGCAGCCUGCACUACAUCAUCCAGUCAUCCGGAGUCCACUGUGGAGGGUGGUGGCCGUCGUCGUCGUAGGGGGGAGGGGGGUCGCCACGCCGUAUGUGACGGGAUGCAGCGGCCUUCAGGAGACUGACGGGGAGAAGCACGGCAUGCAGGCAGACGUUGCAGGGUCUCACAGGGCCCUGGGCUGAGGCUGGGCAGCAUCCUACCUCGGCUCGUGCGGCAUGCGCCUAGGCCACCACCGGCAUGCUACCCCUGCCCCCCACCCUUUGACAGACGCCACCGCCCUCGAGUAACGCCCGUGAGGGCGGUCCCGCCUACUUUGGUGCGCGCCAUGCGGCCCGGUGGGUGUGGCGCCGAUGGCGCAGGCAUGCCUGCGAGGGGGGAGGGACAGGCUGAGCCCGUUAUAGACGCGUGGCCGGAUGCAGCGGCCGGACGGCUCGUCCUAGAGGACGCGGAUGUGGCCGCCGUGCCGCAGGGGGUGGGUGAGGGGCGGCUGUGUGUGUACGUAUAUAUCGGGGUACGAGUUUGUGGUAGGCGGAAGACGGUAGUGACAGUGCCGGUUGAUGUGUUGGCAGACGUACGUUUUUUUGUGUUCCUGUUGCUGUUUCCUGCGCUCUGGUUGUGAUCCAUCUUACCUUACCAUGCAGAGGGCAGAGGAAAAGCGGGCCGAUACAGUGGCACUUACGUGAUUUCUGUAUGUGAUGAGAGCAUGGCGUUCUGACACGCCUUCGGAAACUGAAGGGGAGAGAGCGCACGACGACCUCGAGGAUUCGGCGUAGAGUGAAAAAGAAGGGAAGAGACGGCAGAGGAGUGGACACCAGCGACAGAGGCGAGAAAAGCAUGAGAGCGACACAAGAAAGCAAAAAAAAAAGAUUUGUGGUGCGGUGGCGUUUCCUGGUGCGACGACGUCGACUGUAUGAGCUUUAGCUCUCCGUGUUCCUGCUCCUGUGGAGGGGCGUCCCCGCAUAUAUGCUGGCACCGGCUCCACGAGAUCUGCAGGUCUGUGUGGGUGAUGCCAGGUCGUAUUGCUGAGGUCUCACGUAGCUCUUUGAGUGGACUCCCCGUUACCUUGUUUCUUUACUGGCCUUUGUAUUAUGAUCUCUUCAAG